rnacentral:rRNA from 2 species
UGCUCCCUGAUGAGCGGGGGACGGGUGAGUAACACGCGGGUAACCUGCGUGUCAGAGUGGGAUAACUCCUGUGAACCACGAACUCAUACCCGAUAGAUCCUUGAACCCAUGGGUCACGGAUGAAAGACGGUUUCCGCUGUCACUUACAGAUGGACCCGCGGCGCAUUAGCUAGUUGGUGGGGUAAUGGCUCACCAAGGCGACGAUGCGUAGCCGACCUGAGAGGGUGAUCGGCCACACUGGGACUGAGACACGGCCCAAACUCCUACGGGAGGCUGCAGUAGGGAAUCUUCCGCAAUGGACGAAAGUCUGACGGAGCAACGCCGCGUGAGUGAUGAAGGUUUUCGGAUCGUAAAGCUCUGUUGUUAGGGAAGAACAAGUGCGAGAGUAACUGCUCGCACCUUGACGGUACCUAACCAGAAAGCCACGGCUAACUACGUGCCAGCAGCCGCGGUAAUACGUAUGUGGCAAGCGUUGUCCGGAAUUAUUGGGCGUAAAGGGCUCGCAGGCGGUUUCUUAAGUCUGAUGUGAAAGCCCCCGGCUCAACUGGGGAGGGUCAUUGGAAACUGGGAAACUUGAGUGCAGAAGAGGAGAGUGGAAUUCCACGUGUAGCGGUGAAAUGCGUAGAGAUGUGGAGGAACACCAGUGGCGAAGGCGACUCUCUGGUCUGUAACUGACGCUGAGGAGCGAAAGCGUGGGGAGCGAACAGGAUUAGAUACCCUGGUAGUCCACGCCGUAAACGAUGAGUGCUAAGUGUUAGGGGGUUUCCGCCCCUUAGUGCUGCAGCUAACGCAUUAAGCACUCCGCCUGGGGAGUACGGUCGCAAGACUGAAACUCAAAGGAAUUGACGGGGGCCCGCACAAGCGGUGGAGCAUGUGGUUUAAUUCGAAGCAACGCGAAGAACCUUACCAGGUCUUGACAUCCUCUGACAACCCUAGAGAUAGGGCUUUCCCUUCGGGACAGAAUGACAGGGGUGCAUGGUUGUCCUCAGCCUGGCCUGAGAUGUUGGUUAAGUCCCCACGAGCGCACCCUUGAUCUUAGUUGCCA